GCGGCCUUUUCUGCCUCUGCGCUCCGGCCUGGGAGGGCUGCUGCGCGAUUUCGGGGGUGGCAGGGAUACGGGGCGCGGGGCUUCUUGGUUUCCGAAGGGUACAAGGUGCUCUGAGAGUGAUGAGAUGUGCUUCGUGGCUGUGCCAGGCCCGAGGGUCCCGUCCCUGGAGUGCAUGGAGGGCAGCGGCCCUGCCUGGUCUCGGCCACGUUGUCCGUGGACCUCGGGAAGCCCCGACGGGGCCCCAAGGCUGCGUUCCCACGCCAGGAAGUGGAAGAUGGGUUUGAAUGCAUUUGAGUUUAUUGGACACGGACCGUGUGUCAGAGGGAGUUUUUAAUGGAAGCAGAGAUUUCUUGUGAAAGAGAAAGACGUCACUGUCACUGCAUGUAUGCCUAACGUAUCACAUUUGAGUUCAAGGCUAAAUAGGAGUCAAGUGCCGUUUAAUAUUAAGGUUUAGAUCUUAAUAUUUGUUUCAAGAUCCAGAACUUGGCGAGCGAGUGGCAUCAGCGUUGCAGGUCAAAGAUGGAUGCUUGAAGCUUACCCUGUUGCUAGCUGAAUCCUUUUGGGGAGCACCAAAGGUGACCUAAGGAUGUCCCUGAUGAGGAAUUCAAAAACAUCACAGGAAAUCUUGACAAGAGUUACUUGGUUCAUUUAAAAUUCCCAGGAGUCUGAAGGGUACUAAAUUUAUUGUUUUGGGACUGUCCGUAAAUGUACCUUUAAAAUAGUGGAGCUAUGAAUAAAUAUUUCCUUGUGCUUCUUGGA